rnacentral:tmRNA from 1 species
GGGGCUGACCGGUUUUGACAGUAGGUGUGAAGAUUGGGCCAGCAUGUCGGGUGGAGCAUGUACGCCCGUGAAUAAUUCAUGCGAACUAUAAUUGGCGAAUCUAAUUACGCCAUGGCUGCCUAAUCAAACCCAUUAGGGAUUGAUACUGCUUAAAGGGUUGAGUCCGCCGAGGCGGAUUCCCCGGCCACAUCCCGCAGCUCUCUGACUUGACAGAGCUGAUUCUGGGGUGUCGACUUGUCAGGUCUAGCGCUAGAGAUGCUAUUAAUCCAGUGCGAAAUUUAAAUAGCUAAGCCCAAAGGUAGCUGUGUCACCCAGCAGCCCUGGGACGAAAACCCAACAGGUGACUAAACAUGUAGACGGUACAAUGUUUCCCUAUCUGGACCAGGGUUCGAAUCCCUGCAGCUCCACAC